GGCCGCGUGGCGAAAUUGGUAGACGCAAGCGACUUAAAAUCGCUCGAGCUUUGCUCGUGCCGGUUCAAGUCCGGCCGCGGCCACCA
rnacentral:tRNA from 2 species